CCUCCCCGGCAGCCGCCGCGCUUUCCCCGAGUGCAGGCUUUGUUGGUCUUUCUUUACGAAAACGCACAUCCAGGAAGGAGGAGAGACUGCAGCAGAACUGAGUUCUGUUAGACGCAGUCAUCGGAGGUUUUGCAAUGCCCCGAGAGCCGUACAACUACAUUUGAAGAUAUAAUGAAGAAGCCAGAUGCUUGAAUAUGCAUUUGAAUAAGUGGGGAUUUAAUAGAAGACAAAGUUCCAUUAAAUGUUACAGACAUUCUGUGUAUCUGACUUUCGGGAAGAAAAGGCUGAAUAAGUGUACUCCCAGACGGACAAUGGCGGAGUUCAGCGUGAGCUGUCCAAGAGACUGUGUGUCACACAGCAAGUGAGAGAUUUGAGGUGAGGGGCUGGGAGUCCUGAGUGGAUGAAAGUUCACUUCUUGAGCAUUGUCACUGAGAUCUAUCCAGGUGGAAAAGCAGCUGAAAUCAGAACACUCCUCAACAUGACCUCACCACAGAGCCACAGAAAUGGUAAAUUCCUGUGAGGCCAGACACCAGAUACCCCAGCCUUGCACACACUGAUGCCGUUGGGGAGAGAACCACAGGCUCUUGCUUAGGUUUCUCUCUUGAGGGGAAAAAAGCCACAAGGAGUCCUGGACGCUCAGCUCAAUCAAGUUCAAUGGGCAUGUGUUAGAUGCUAAUCGAUACUCAAUUUUGCCACCAGGGAGGGUGCUGUUUUGAGCAGUUGCAUGUCUAUAGGAAAUAACAGAGUGAUUUAUUUUUAUGUUGGGAAAACCAAUAUUUCAUAUGCAUUCUGUCAAUAUGGCCUCCUCCCCCCACCGCGCCUGCCUCUAAUGUUUAAUUGUAAUGAAUUGUA